rnacentral:rRNA from 1 species
UCAAGUUAUUAAGGGUGCAGGGCGGAUGCCUUGGCACUAGGAGCCGAUGAAGGACGUGAUAAGCUGCGAUAAGCUUCGGGGAGUUGCACGUAAACUUUGAUCCGAAGAUUUCCGAAUGAGGAAACUCACUUAGAGUAAUGUCUAAGUAUCAUUAAGUGAAUACAUAGCUUAAUGAGGGGAACUCAGGGAACUGAAACAUCUAAGUACCUGAAGGAAGAGAAAGAAAUUCGAUUCCGUAAGUAGCGGCGAGCGAACGCGGAUUAGCCCAAACCAAUAAAGUUUUCUUUGUUGGGGUUGCGGACAUAUCAUAACGAAGAGGUAUCGUAAUUGAAGAGGUUUGGAAAGACCCACCACAGAAGGUAAUAGUCCUGUAUGUUAAACGAGAAGACUUCAGAUAUGAUCCAGAGUACCACGGGACACGUGAAACCCUGUGGGAAGCAGGAGGGACCACCCUCCAAGGCUAAAUACUACCUAGUGACCGAUAGCGUAUAGUACCGUGAGGGAAAGGUGAAAAGAACCCCGGGAGGGGAGUGAAAUAGAACCUGAAACCCUGCACUUACAAGCUGUGGAAGCACAUUUCUUGUGUGACCGCGUACUUUUUGUAGAACGGGCCAACGAGUUACGUUAAGUAGCAAGGUUAAGCACUUAAGGUGUGGAGCCGUAGCGAAAGCGAGUUUUAACUGAGCGUUCAGUUACUUGACGUAGACCCGAAACCGGGCGACCUACCCAUGAGCAGGAUGAAGCGAAAGUAAAAUUUCGUGGAGGUCCGAACCCACGAGCGUUGAAAAGCUCGGGGAUGACUUGUGGGUAGCGGUGAAAUUCCAAUCGAGCCCGGAGAUAGCUGGUUCUCCCCGAAAUAGCUUUAGGGCUAGCCUCAAGGUGAGAGAUACGGAGGUAGAGCACUGAAUGUCCUAGGGGGUAUUGCACCUACCGAAGACUAUCAAACUCCGAAUGCCGUCAUCUUAUACUUGGGAGUCAGACUGUGGGUGAUAAGAUUCAUAGUCGAAAGGGCAACAGCCCAGAUCGUCAGCUAAGGUCCCUAAAUGUAAGUUAAGUGGUAAAGGAUGUGGGAUUGCACAGACAACCAGGAUGUUGGCUUAGAAGCAGCCACUCAUUCAAAGAGUGCGUAAUAGCUCACUGGUCGAGUGAUCCUGCGCCGAAGAUUUCCGGGGCUAAAACUUACUACCGAAGCUACGGCAUCAGUAAUGAUGGGUAGGGGAGCUUCCCAUACGGGUUGAAGCAUGACCGUAAGGACAUGUGGACAGUAUGGGAGUGAGAAUGUUGGCAUGAGUAGCGAGAUGUGGGUGAGAAUCCCACAGGCCGUAAACCCAAGGUUUCCAGGGGAAGGUUCGUCCGCCCUGGGUUAGUCGGGACCUAAGCUGAGGCCGAAAGGCGUAGGUGAUGGACAACAGGUUGAUAUUCCUGUACUACCGAUAACCAUUUGAGAGAAGGGAUGACACAGUAGGAUAAGCUAAGCACACUGUUGGUUAUGUGUGCCCAAGCAUUGAGGCAGUCAAAGUAGGCAAAUCCGCUUUGAUAAUGCUGGGAUGUGAUGGGGAGCGAAAUUUAGUAGCGAAGUAGCUGAUUUCACACUGUCAAGAAAAGUCUCUAUCGAGGUUAAAGGUACCCGUACCGCAAACCGACACAGGUGGGUGAGGAGAGUAUCCUAAGGCCAGCGAGAGAACUGUUGUUAAGGAACUCGGCAAAAUGACCCCGUAACUUAGGGAUAAGGGGUGCCACCAUCCGGUGGCCGCAGAGAAUAGGCCCAAGCGACUGUUUACCAAAAACAUAGGUUUCUGCUAAGUCGCAAGACGAUGUAUAGGAGCUGACGCCUGCCCGGUGCUGGAAGGUUAAGGGGAUCUGUUAGAGCAAUCGAAGCAGUGAACUUAAGCCCCAGUAAACGGCGGCCGUAACUAUAACGGUCCUAAGGUAGCGAAAUUCCUUGUCGGGUAAGUUCCGACCCGCACGAAAGGCGUAACGAUUUGGGCACUGUCUCAACAACAGACUCGGUGAAAUUGUAAUUCCGGUGAAGAUGCCGGAUACCUGCGACAGGACGGAAAGACCCCAUGGAGCUUUACUGUAGCUUGACAUUGGGUCUUGGUACUACAUGUACAGGAUAGGUGGGAGGCUUUGAAACCAGGACGCCAGUUUUGGCGGAGCCAUCCUUGGGAUACCACCCUUGUAGUACUGGGACUCUAACCAUAGGCCAUGAAUCUGGUCUUGGGACACUGUCAGGUGGGCAGUUUGACUGGGGCGGUCGCCUCCCAAAAGGUAACGGAGGCGCUCAAAGGUUCUCUCAGUACGGUCGGAAAUCGUACGUAGAGUGUAAAGGCAAAAGAGAGCUUGAUUGCAAGACAUACAGGUCGAGCAAGGAUGAAAAUCGGACUUAGUGAUCCGGUGGUUCUGCGUGGAAGGGCCAUCGCUCAACGGAUAAAAGCUACCCUGGGGAUAACAGGCUUAUCU